AUUGAACGCUGGCGGCAGGCCUAACACAUGCAAGUCGAGCGGCAGCGGAAAGUAGCUUGCUACUUUGCCGGCGAGCGGCGGACGGGUGGGUAAUGUCUGGGGAUCUGCCUGAUGGAGGGGGAUAACUACUGGAAACGGUAGCUAAUACCGCAUAACGUCGCAAGACCAAAGUGGGGGACCUUCGAGCCUCACGCCAUCGGAUGAACCCAGAUGGGAUUAGCUAGUAGGUGGGGUAAUGGCUCACCUAGGCGACGAUCCCUAGCUGGUCUGAGAGGACGACCAGCCACACUGGGACUGAGACACGGCCCAGACUCCUACGGGAGGCAGCAGUGGGGAAUAUUGCACAAUGGGCGCAAGCCUGAUGCAGCCAUGCCGCGUGUGUGAAGAAGGCCUUCGGGUUGUAAAGCACUUUCAGCGAGGAGGAAGGGUGGUGUGUUAAUAGCACACGACAUUGACGUUACUCGCAGAAGAAGCACCGGCUAACUCCGUGCCAGCAGCCGCCGUAA
rnacentral:rRNA from 1 species